UACGUAGGGUGCAAGCGUUGUCCGGAAUUAUUGGGCGUAAAGAGCUCGUAGGCGGUCUGUCGCGUCGGCUGUGAAAACUCGGGGCUCAACUCCGAGCUUGCAGUCGAUACGGGCAGGCUAGAGUUCGGCAGGGGAGACUGGAAUUCCUGGUGUAGCGGUGAGAUGCGCAGAUAUCAGGAGGAACACCGGUGGCGAAGGCGGGUCUCUGGGCCGGUACCGACGCUGAGGAGCGAAAGCGUGGGGAGCGAACAGG
rnacentral:rRNA from 1 species